rnacentral:rRNA from 1 species
ACUCAAAUGAAUUGACGGGGGCCCGCACAAGCGGUGGAGCAUGUGGUUCAAUUCGAUGCAGAGCGAAGAACCUUACCUGGGCUUGACAUGACGGAAGUAGGAACCGGAAACGGGGACGACCUGUUGAGUCAGGAGCCGUCACAGGUGGUGCAUGGCUGUCGUCAGCUCGUGCCGUGAGGUGUUGGGUUAAGUCCCGCAACGAGCGCAACCCCCACCCAAUGUUGCCAGCGGUUAGGCCGGGGACUCUUUGGGAACUGCCGGCGAAGAGCUGGAGGAAGGGGGGGAUGACGUCAAGUCCGUAUGCCCUUGAUGUCCAGGGCUACACACAUGCUACAAUGCGCGGGACAGAGGGGCGCGAACCCGCGAGGGGGAGCCAAUCCCGAAAAGCCGCGCUCAGUUCGGAUUGCAGGCUGCAACUCGCCUGCAUGAAGGCGGAAUCGCUAGUAAGCGCAGAUCAGCAGGCUGCGCUGAAUACGUUCCCGGGCCUUGUACACACCGCCCGU